rnacentral:lncRNA from 1 species
CUCUACGCAAGUAGGAUUCUAAGACAUUUCAAAAAUCAAGAGCUGGGUGCUCAACUAGGAAAGAAUCCUGGCUACUGAUGGAAUUGGCUGGGGGCAAAAGGAACAUGGAAGAGGAGUUCAAAGCUGAGAGCAAGACCUUGACCAUGGCAACUUUAUCCAGGCAGUGCCACCAUGUGAUGCCACCUGAGACAGGUAAGUCACCUGUGAUGAAGUGAUCCAUUGAAGAAAGCCUAUUUUCUUGCUGCAUAAAUACAGGCCUGAACUACGUGUGAGCUGUCAUACACAUACCCCCUGGAUGCAAUUCCCGAGAAGUGACAGGCCGCCAUCAUUCAUGCUAAUGUCUAUUUGUGCAACAAUGUUGUUUGAAAUAAUCGACCAAUUCAUCAAAGGGAACAGCCGACUUUGGUGGGGGAGGGGGGCAGAGGGUGCUUUUUCAGUCCUAAUGAAAGAAACGACAUUCCUGUUUACCAUUUGUCAGCUUUAAAUAGUCAAUAAAUGUUUGCAAUGAUUUCCAAAUUUUGAGAUGUGAUUCGCUUGUAAGGAUAUGAAAUUUUUAAGAUUUAUAGAGAGGGUGUUUCUUCCGUAAACAUUCAGCUUUGAUAAUUAUCAGGAGAACUAUUCAUUUUGUCUCAGAAGUUAAAUGCAUGAUAAAUGGAAUGCCUCUUAUUGGUUGCAAUUUUCUAAAUGUAAAGAAUGCCUAUUUCUUUGAUAAUCAACACAAAUACGUUAAUAAUAAUUAUAAAGCUUUUCAGUGCUAUAGGUUGAUGAUAAGCCUGAAAGUAUAGAAUAGUAUAAUCUCUAUAUUAAAUUGUUUUCAUUUUUGAAGCAGAUGCAACAAAAAUCAGAAUUUUCUUAGAAUUUCCAGGGACCCUACCCAGAUAUUCCUGACUGAUAACAGCUAAUAGGGUCAACUACGCCCUCCUACCGUGGGCUCCAUGUCUC